UAUUUAUGUGCUUGUGAAUUUAGAAUGAGUAAUUGCUAUUACAAACUUAGGAAAUGUAAGUCUGUUCACUUAGUCGAAAUACUUAAGUGUAUUCUAACUAGUACAGGAAGUGAGAAAUCCAAACUAUUGUUGACAUGUUUGUUGCCCAAAAAUUCUACAGAACAUGCUAAUGCGACUAUAAAGACAAUAUAGAGAAAUCCGUAAAACUAUAUUAAAAAG